UACGUAGGGUGCGAGCGUUGUCCGGAAUUAUUGGGCGUAAAGGGCUCGUAGGCGGUUUGUCGCGUCGGGAGUGAAAAUCCAGGGCUUAACUCUGGACUGGCUUCCGAUACGGGCAGACUAGAGGUAUGCAGGGGAGAACGGAAUUCCUGGUGUAGCGGUGAAAUGCGUAGAUAUUGGGAGGAACACCGGUGGCGAAGGCGGCCCCCUGGGCUGGUAUUGACGCUGAUGCGCGAAAGUGUGGGGAGCGAACAGG
rnacentral:rRNA from 1 species